GUGUCCUGCGGCCCUCCUUGCCCCACCCAUCGCUUCCACGCCGCGGUCCUCGCCACCUCACCUUUGCUGUCGGUAGCCCGAGCCGCUGCUCGCCCGCUGGGAGCGCAGUGGAGCCCAGUGUUGGGCACGAGUCCGGCGGGGCCGCAGGCUCCGCCCUGCUGCGCCCCGCCCCGCCUGCGCUCGGGGGAAAGACCGCCCCGGGGACAUGUCGUGCCCCCCUCAGCGAGGGCAGGAGUGUGUGAAAGGCAGCGGGGCUGUCAGAGAGCAAAAUGUCAUCAGCAGAAUCACACCAGGAACAAUUGUCCCAGUCAGAUCCAUCCCCGUCACCAAACUCAUGUAGUUCCUUUGAGCUACUAGACAUGGAUGCUGGCAGUUUGUAUGAGCCAGUUUCUCCUUAUUGGUUUUAUUGUAAAAUAAUAGAUUCUAAGGAGACAUGGAUUCCUUUCAACUCUGAGGAUUCACAGCAGCUGGAAGAGGCAUAUGGUUCUGGAAAAGAUUGUAAUGGGAGAGUUGUCCCCACUGAUGGGGGCAGAUAUGAUGUGCAUUUGGGGGAGAGGAUGCGGUAUGCUGUAUACUGGGAUGAGCUAGCAUCGGAAGUGAGACGAUGUACCUGGUUUUACAAGGGAGACAAAGAUAAUAAGUAUGUUCCCUACUCAGAGAGCUUCAGCCAAGUAUUAGAGGAAACGUACAUGCUUGCUGUAACUCUGGAUGAGUGGAAAAAGAAACUGGAGUCUCCCAACAGAGAAAUUAUUAUAUUACACAAUCCAAAGCUUAUGGUGCAUUACCAGCCAGUUGCAGGGUCUGAUGAAUGGGGUUCAACACCCACUGAACAGGGUCGACCAAGAACAGUGAAGAGAGGGGUUGAGAACAUCUCUGUUGACAUUCAUUGUGGAGAACCUUUACAAAUAGAUCACUUGGUUUUUGUAGUCCAUGGGAUUGGACCAGCUUGUGAUCUCCGCUUUCGAAGCAUUGUACAGUGUGUUAACGAUUUUCGCAGUGUUUCCUUGAACCUGCUACAGACACAUUUUAAGAAAGCCCAAGAAAAUCAGCAGAUUGGGAGGGUAGAAUUUCUUCCAGUCAACUGGCAUAGUCCUUUGCAUUCUACUGGUGUGGAUGUAGAUCUGCAGCGAAUAACUCUGCCCAGCAUUAACCGCCUAAGGCACUUUACCAAUGACACAAUUCUGGAUGUCUUCUUCUACAAUAGCCCCACCUACUGUCAGACUAUAGUGGACACAGUUGCUUCUGAAAUGAACCGAAUAUAUACACUUUUUCUUCAGAGGAACCCUGAUUUCAAAGGGGGUGUAUCCAUUGCCGGUCAUAGUUUAGGUUCGCUUAUAUUGUUUGAUAUACUAACAAAUCAGAAAGAAUCUUUGGGGGAUAUGGACAGUGAAAAGGAUGCACCAAAUAUUGUCAUGGAUGAAGGAGACACACUGACACUAGAGGAAGGUUUGAAGAAACUUCAACUCUCUGAAUUCUUUAAUAUCUUUGAGAAGGAGAAAGUAGAUAAGGAAGCUCUGGCUUUAUGUACUGACAAAGAUCUUCAGGAAAUGGGAAUUCCCUUAGGACCAAGAAAGAAGAUAUUAAACUACUUUAGGACCAGAAAAAAUUCAACGGGUAUUAAUAGACCAACCCUGCAGCCAGCUUCAGGGGUGACUAUAUCUGACAUCCCCAAAGAAUCAGGCUUCUGCAGUAAAACCGACGCCACUGGAAAUGGUGACUAUCUGGAUGUUGGUAUUGGGCAGGUGUCUGUAAAAUACCCCCGGCUCAUCUACAAACCAGAAAUAUUCUUUGCCUUUGGAUCUCCCAUUGGAAUGUUCCUUACUGUCCGAGGACUAAAAAGAAUCGAUCCCAACUAUAAAUUUCCAACAUGCAAAGGUUUCUUCAAUAUCUAUCACCCUUUUGAUCCUGUGGCCUAUAGGAUUGAACCGAUGGUGGUCCCAGGAGUGGAAUUUGAGCCAAUGCUGAUCCCACAUCAUAAAGGCAGGAAGCGAAUGCACUUAGAAUUGAGAGAGGGCUUGACCAGGAUGAGUAUGGACCUUAAGAACAACUUGCUAGGUUCACUUCGGAUGGCCUGGAAGUCUUUCACCAGAGCUCCAUACCCUGCCUUACAGGCUUCAGAAACUACAGAAGAAACUGAAGCAGAACCUGAAUCAAGUUCAGAGAAGCUGAGUGAUGUUAACACAGAAGAGACCCCUGUGGCAGUUAAAGAAGUCCCACCCAUCAAUGUGGGAAUGCUGAAUGGAGGCCAGCGCAUUGACUAUGUGCUACAAGAGAAGCCCAUUGAAAGUUUUAACGAAUAUUUAUUUGCUUUACAAAGCCAUCUAUGCUACUGAGAUCACAUGAACACGUGAGCAGGGGGAAGGAGAAGAGGGAGAGGGAGAAGCAGGCAACCUGCCAAGCAGGGAGCCCAAUGUGGGGCUCGAUCCCAGGACCCUGGAUCAUGACCUGAGCCGAAAGCAGACGCCCAGCUGACUGAGCAACCCAGGGAGUCUGAAGAUACAGUAUUGCUGGUCCUCAAAGAAAUCUACCAAACCCAGGGCAUCUUCCUUGAUCAGCCUUUACAGUAAAAAUGAAUCAUGUGUGGCUGCUUAAUACGGACACUGAAGGAUCCUCCCCCAGAAAAUGCACCUGCUUGUUGCUGCCGUUUCCCUCUCCUCAGCUGCAUCAUUUCCUGCAUGUUGCCUGCCACUUACUUACCACCGGGGUCUUUGGAAGAUAAUCUUGUUAUCUCGGAAGUGAGUGAAAAAACAAAGGGAAGACCCUAUUACUUUUUACCACUGGCUUUAUAGAAGCACUUGCCACUCUUCAUAGUGGGGGUUGUUUGCAUCUUUAAUUCCAGAUGAUAGGUGCCAUCCUUUAUUGCUUAUUACUUGAGAUAGUAUAAAGUCUGUUUUGAGUUUAUUUUGGCUUGGUAGAAAUUUUUCUAGGAAAUUAUUGCUUUAGAAAAUGUUCUAGUUUGGAGAAGGCUCCGGAGAUUCAGAAGGCAUUUUGGGGUACACUCAUCUCUCAUUGGUGUUCUCUGUAUUUGAAGGCUAAGUGGGUGUGAAAAAGAUUGUUGGGCACCUUCCUUUGAGCCAGCUUUUCUUUCCUACAAGUCCUGUGUGAGGGACUGAAAUGUAGCUUACAGAGAGUAUUGUUUACUCUCUACAGCUGACAGUUGAUGGCAUGGAAUCACUGAUGCUAUUCAUUGUUUUCCGAGCUGUUCGAGCUGCUUUCAGAGUUUACAGUGGAUAGUUUAGUUCACAUUAGGUGCAUCUUUAUAAAGCAAAGAUAUUAUAUAUCCUAGACCUGUCCUUUCGUAUCAUGCUCAAAUGGGGAGACUCUCAAUGAAAUCUGACUUAGUUGAUAGUAGCUUCUGUUCUUGAGGGCAAAGUUAUAAAGGCUGGCAAACCUGAACUCACACAACCUUGACCGGCUGCUUUGGUUAUGAGUAAAAUCUUUCAGUAGUACUUUUUUUUUUUUUUUAAGAUUUUAUUUAUUUAUUUGAGAGAGAGAGAAUGAGAGAGAGCACAUGAGAGGGGGAAGGGUCAGAGGGAGAAGCAGACUCCCCGCCGAGCAAGGAGCCCGAUGCGGGACUCGAUCCCGGGACUCCAGGAUCAUGACCUGAGCCGAAGGCAGUCGCCUAACCAACUGAGCCACCCAGGCGCCCUCAGUAGUACAUUUAAGGUGAAAUAGAAUUUGUGAGUCAACCACCAUAUCCACUUGGGUGAAGGCAGUAUUGUGUGUCCUCUUUGAAAACAUUUUGUAAACACCAUUGCCUGCUUAGGUACCCAUAAUCCAGAAAGCUUAUUUAACAGCCCCAUGGCACAGGCCGUGUUGGCUGGGCAGGUGGCUUUGGCUGGGGGACAGGCUUCCUAUUCUGAAAGAAAAACCUAUGCCUGUAGGAGCAGAGGAACAGCCAGUGCGGAGUCCACGUCAGAACGUGCAAAGUGAGGUGUACCUUGAAGAUGGGUGCAUACAGAUUGAUUUCUUCCAGGGCAUCUGCUCACCACUGCGCUGUAUUUUCUUUCUCAUUGGUCAGAGUUUGUCACUCACUUUGCAGUUCUCUUUGUGAUAGUCCUUUACCCUCCACUCCGAUUCCCAUAGGCCUCUCUGUUUAUAGAGUGGCAGAGGCAGGCAAGCUGUGUUUUGUUUUUAUAAAAAAUGAUUUGUAAAUAUAUCAUGGUAUCCAGUGCAUUGGCAUUUAACAUUCACUUAAGCCAUCCCUUUGACAGCAGUGGUCUCUCUCCCUUUCCAGAGAGAAAAGGAAAGGGAAGGUUAAUCACCGUCACCCUAGAGAUGGCAGAGGUAAGGCUGGGGUACAGGACCCAUGCCUGGCCUUUACUUGUCCAUCUGCUUAUAGACUAAUGCUAAGCCACUAAGAAAUGUCAGAUAUAUGGAAUACUUUUAUAUUCUUUACUAUAUAAAUUGAGUUUGAAGUAAGGGUUACUGAGAAUUAAGUAGCAUUCAAUUAUAUUUUAAAGGGGAAACUUUUGUCAAGUUGUUGUCUUCAAAUUUAAAUUUAUUCUUCAUAUUAGCAGAAUAGAUACUAUUUAAGAGUAAACCAAAGGACAAGCAAGAAUGAGUCCCUGUAACCAAAGAUGAACAGCAUAACCCUGGACACCUAGAUAAACCACUGUUGGUACUAAGAAAUGUUUUCUGAUGGUGAGGGGCAGGCAACUGUAAAGGAGCUUUAUAUCUUGUCUCUCCGCCUAUGGUAUCAUGGUUGUAUAGUACACAGGAUAGUAAGUUUGAGUUAAAUUCUUAGUUGUAUAUUAUUUGCACUACUUCAGUUGUAUCAUGUGCAAUCUCUUGACCAAGCCUAUUUUUAAACUCUGUAGAGUAUCAUUUUAUACAUAUUCCCUGUUACAGAAUUUGUAUUGCUUAGCUCAGCAAGAGAUUGUCUGCAUGGAAAGAUUAAUAGCACUGAUUAGCUUUCUGAUAUUUUGCACUUUUUGAAAUGUUUGUUUUUUACAUGAUUCUAUUUAAAAGUUUACUAAAUACUGAAAUAAAACCAUAUUGA